rnacentral:rRNA from 1 species
GACGAACGCUGGCGGCGUGCUUAACACAUGCAAGUCGAACGGAAAGGCCCUGCUUUUGUGGGGUGCUCGAGUGGCGAACGGGUGAGUGACACGUGAGUAACAUGCCCUUGACUUUGGGAUAACUUCAGGAAAAUGGGGCUAAUACCGGAUAGGAGCUACUGCUGCAUGGUGGGGGUUGGAAAGAUUCGGCGGUUGGGGAUGGACUCGCGGCUUAUCAGCUUGUUGGUGGGGUAGUGGCUUACCAAGGCUGUGACGGGUAGCCGGCCUGAGAGGGUGACCGGCCACAUUGGGACUGAGAGACGGCCCAGACGCCUACGGGAGGCAGCAGUGGAGAAUAUUGCACAAUGGGCGGAAGCCUGAUGCAGCAACGCCGCGUGCGGGAUGACGUCCUUCGGGGUGUAAACCGCUUUCGCCUGUGACGAAGCGUGAGUGACGGUAAUGGGUAAAGAAGCACCGGCUAACUACGUG